rnacentral:lncRNA from 1 species
CAAGACUCAAGACACAUAAAACACCAGUGGUUCAAGUCAUCAGGAACUUUGGAUGAUGAUGCCGAUGCACAAAGAACAAUUUAAUUCUUUGGAACAUUACCUUUGCAGAAAUCAUGAUCGGAACGUAGACAUCAAUUCAGUAGUUCCAUUACCUGCACCUACUACCUCUGGUCCUACAACUUGCUUAAAGCCUAUCCAAUUGGACAAGUUCAUCUAAC